CCUCUCUGCUUGGCCUUGCGGCCCAGGUUGCAGGUGGCAGCCCACUCCACUUCCUCCCAGAACCACUCGUCAGCAUGGGAGAGGCUCCCCACCUUCAGAAGCCUCAAGCUCUGAUUGAUACACCACCACUGCUGACAAAGAAAAGCAGGCCAUGUAUGAAGCCUGAGCAGCACCUGCACAGUGUGGUUGAAGCAUGUCAGUAUUCACUUGCAGCGGUCCUAUCAUUGCCUUCCAGAAAACCCAUGCACCGUGGAUGUAUGAUAAAGGCUGAUAAAUCUAGUUUUUGUCUCCUGAUUGUUCUUCCACACGUAACUGUGUCAGUUGGUUACAUGGUGAGUGUAGGUCUGUUUGCUUGCCUGCUGCU